rnacentral:rRNA from 1 species
CUCCGACUUCAUGGGGUCGAGUUGCAGACCCCAAUCCGAACUGAGACCGGCUUUUUGGGAUUCGCUCCACCUUACGGUAUCGCAGCCCUCUGUACCGGCCAUUGUAGCAUGCGUGAAGCCCAAGACAUAAGGGGCAUGAUGAUUUGACGUCAUCCCCACCUUCCUCCGAGUUGACCCCGGCAGUCUCCCAUGAGUCCCCGGCAUAACCCGCUGGCAACAUAGGACGAGGGUUGCGCUCGUUGCGGGACUUAACCCAACAUCUCACGACACGAGCUGACGACAACCAUGCACCACCUGUGUACGAGUGUCCAAAGAGAACCCCGUCUCGGGGGCUUUCUCGUACAUGUCAAGCCUUGGUAAGGUUCUUCGCGUUGCAUCGAAUUAAUCCGCAUGCUCCGCCGCUUGUGCGGGCCCCCGUCAAUUCCUUUGAGUUUUAGCCUUGCGGCCGUACUCCCCAGGCGGGGCACUUAAUGCGUUAGCUGCGGCACGGAACUCGUGGAAUGAGCCCCACACCUAGUGCCCAACGUUUACGGCAUGGACUACCAGGGUAUCUAAUCCUGUUCGCUCCCCAUGCUUUCGCUCCUCAGCGUCAGUUGCGGCCCAGAGACCUGCCUUCGCCAUCGGUGUUCCUCCUGAUAUCUGCGCAUUCCACCGCUACACCAGGAAUUCCAGUCUCCCCUACCGCACUCUAGUCUGCCCGUACCCGAUGCAAGCCCGAGGUUGAGCCUCGGGAUUUCACACCAGACGCGACAGACCGCCUACGAGCUCUUUACGCCCAAUAAUUCCGGACAACGCUUGCGCCCUACGUAUUACCGCGGCUGCUGGCACGUAGUUAGCCGGCGCUUCUUCUGCAGGUACCGUCACUUGCGCUUCUUCCCUGCUGAAAGAGGUUUACAACCCGAAGGCCGUCAUCCCUCACGCGGCGUCGCUGCAUCAGGCUUGCGCCCAUUGUGCAAUAUUCCCCACUGCUGCCUCCCGUAGGAGUCUGGGCCGUGUCUCAGUCCCAGUGUGGCCGGUCGCCCUCUCAGGCCGGCUACCCGUCGACGCCUUGGUAGGCCAUCACCCCACCAACAAGCUGAUAGGCCGCGAGCCCAUCCCCCACCGAAAAACUUUCCAACCCACACCAUGCGAUGCGAGCUCAUAUCCGGUAUUAGACCCCGUUUCCAAGGCUUAUCCCGAAGUGGAGGGCAGGUUGCUCACGUGUUACUCACCCGUUCGCCACUGAUCCACCCAGCAAGCUGGGCUUCAC